rnacentral:precursor_RNA from 18 species
CAAGAGAAGAUUCUGGGGCCUGUUGCCACAAACCCGUAGAUCCGAACUUGUGGUGAUAUUCCACACAAGCUUGUGUCUAUAGGUAUGUGUCUGUCAGGCAAUCUCACAAACCAGGGG